rnacentral:rRNA from 1 species
GGAUCGGCUAACUCCGUGCCAGCAGCCGCGGUAAUACGGAGGANCCAAGCGNAUCNGAAUCAUUGGGUUAAAGGGUCCGUAGGUGGAUAAUUAAGUCAGAGGUGAAAUCUGCAGCUCAACUGUAAAAUUGCGUUUGAUACUGGUUAUCUUGAGUUAUUAUGAAGUAGUUAGAAUAUGUAGUGUAGCGGUGAAAUGCAUAGAUAUUACAUAGAAUACCAAUUGCGAAGGCAGAUUACUAAUAAUCAACUGACACUGAUGGACGAAAGCGUGGGUAGCGAACAGGAUUAGAUACCCUGGUAGUCCACGCCGUAAACGAUGGUUACUAGCUGUUUGGACCUUGUGUCUGAGUGGCUAAGCGAAAGUGAUAAGUAACCCACCUGGGGAGUACGUUCGCAAGAAUGAAACUCAAAGGAAUUGACGGGGGCCCGCACAAGCGGUGGAGCAUAUGGUUUAAUUCGAUGAUACGCGAGGAACCUUACCAGGGCUUAAAUGUAAGUUGCAUUAGUUAGAGAUAGCUAUUUCUUCGGACCACUUACAAGGUGCUGCAUGGUUGUCGUCAGCUCGUGCCGUGAGGUGUCAGGUUAAGUCCUAUAACGAGCGCAACCCCUGUUGUUAGUUGCCAGCGAGUCAUGUCGGGAACUCUAACAAGACUGCCAGUGCAAACUGUGAGGAAGGUGGGGAUGACGUCAAAUCAUCACGGCCCUUACGUCCUGGGCUACACACGUGCUACAAUGGUCGGUACAGAGAGCAGCCACUACGCGAGUAGGAGCGAAUCUUAAAAGCCGAUCACAGUUCGGAUCGGAGUCUGCAACUCGACUCCGUGAAGCUGGAAUCGCUAGUAAUCGGAUAUCAGCCAUGAUCCGGUGAAUACGUUCCCGGGCCUUGUACACACCGCCCGUCAAGCCAUGGAAGUUGGGAGUGCCUGAAGUCCGUUACCGUAAGGAGCGGCCUAGGGUAAAAUCGAUAACUAGGGCUAAGUCGUAACAAGGUAACCGUA